rnacentral:rRNA from 1 species
UACGUAGGGGGGCAAGCGUUUGUCCGGAUUCAUUGGGCGAAAGAGCGUGUAGGCGGCCAGGUAGGUCGGUUGUGAAAACUGGAGGCUCAACCUUCAGAGGUCGACCGAAACCAUCUGGCUAGAGUCCGGGAGAGGAGAGUGGAAUUCCUGGUGUAGCGGUGAAAUGCGCAGAUAUCAGGAAGAACACCCGUGGCGAAAGCGGCUCUCUGGAACGGUACUGACGCUGAGACGCGAAAGCGUGGGGAGCGAACAGG